rnacentral:lncRNA from 1 species
UUGAUUCAGGGUCUGUUGGCACAACUUCCUCCUCAAGUUUAUCUUUUUCGAUUUGUUCAGAAGGAACCUUAGAAUCUCUGUCAGGUUUCUUUGAUUCCACUACAUCUUGCUUAUCUUCACCAGAUCCACCACUCCUAGUUCCUUCGCUUGCAGUGGCGAAUGAAUCUUCAUCGUUGUCAUAUGGAACCAGAGAUAAAGAAGCAACUGUAGAUCUGACUGGUUCUUCGAUGGGUUCAUCAACCAAUUGUGGGUUUUCUGCACCACCAUCAGACCGACUUUCUC